rnacentral:rRNA from 1 species
GACGAACGCUGGCGGCGUGCCUAAUACAUGCAAGUCGAGCGGAAUGAUGAAGAAGCUUGCUUCUUCUGAUUUUAGCGGCGGACGGGUGAGUAACGCGUGGGCAACCUACCUUGUAGAUUGGGAUAACUCCGGGAAACCGGGGCUAAUACCGAAUAAUCCAUUUCGCUUCAUGGCGGAAUGUUAAAAGGCGGCUUUUAGCUGUCACUGCAAGCUGGGCCCGCGGCGCAUUAGCUAGUUGGUAGGGUAACGGCCUACCAAGGCGACGAUGCGUAGCCGACCUGAGAGGGUGAUCGGCCACACUGGGACUGAGACACGGCCCAGACUCCUACGGGAGGCAGCAGUAGGGAAUCUUCCACAAUGGACGAAAGUCUGAUGGAGCAACGCCGCGUGAGUGAAGAAGGUUUUCGGAUCGUAAAACUCUGUUGUAAGGGAAGAACACGUACGAGAGUAACUGCUCGUACCUUGACGGUACCUUAUUAGAAAGCCACGGCUAACUACGUGCCAGCCGCCGCAGUAAUAC